rnacentral:rRNA from 1 species
UAUGUCUGUAAGUGGCGUACUGCUCAGUAACACGUAGCUAACCUACCCUUAGGACGUUUAUAACCCCGAGAAAUUGGGGCUAAUGAACGAUAGAUGUGAUGUCCUGGAAUGGUAUUACGUCUAAAUGUAUCUCAUACAUGUUUGGUAUACGCCUAAGGAUGGGGCUGCGGCCGAUCAGGCAGUUGGUGAGGUAAUGGCUCACCAAACCUUUGACCGGUACGGGCCAUGAGAGUGGUAGCCCGGAGAUGGACACUGAGACAAGGGUCCAGGCCCUACGGGGCGCAGCAGGCGCGAAACCUCCCCAAUGCACUAACGUGCGAAGGGGUUACCUCGAGUGCUAUCUGAAAAAGGUGGCUUUUCCUUGGUCUAAAACGCCUUGGGAAUAAGAGGGGGGCAAGACUGGUGUCAGCCGCCGCGGUAACACCAGCCCCUCGAGUGGUGGGGAUGAUUAUUUGGCCUAAAGCGUCCGUAGCCGGCCGGAUAAGUUUCCCGUUAAAUCCAACGUCUCAAGCGUUGGACUGCGGGAAAUACUGCCCGGCUAGAGAGUGGGAGAGGUCAGCGGUAUUCUGGGGGUAGGGGCGAAAUCCUUUUGAUCCCCGGAGGACCACCAGUGGCGAAGGCUGCUGACUAGAACACGUCUGACGGUCAGGGACGAAAGCUGGGGUAGCGAACCGGAUUAGAUACCCGGGUAGUCCCAGCCGUAAACGAUGCAUGCUAGGUGUUGGGUUGGCCACGAGCCACCCCAGUGCCGCAGGGAAGCCGUUAAGCAUGCCGCCUGGGAAGUACGAUCGCAAGAUUGAAACUUAAAGGAAUUGGCGGGGGAGCACCACCAGGCGUGAAGCCUGCGGUUUAAUUGGA